CCGGGAAGAUAACGGUGGCUGCGUCCCGCUUGUGGGCGGGAAGGCCGCAGGUUCGAAUCCUGCUUCCCGGA
rnacentral:tRNA from 1 species